CAUUGUAAUUGUUGCAAAUUAAUCUUCCUAAUUUUCCGCUUUCAUUCUCAAGCUGCAGACAUCACUCUACCUAAAGUCAAGAUCCUACCACCUUCUCCAAAAGAAUUAUGUUCCCAGAAUAAGACUGAUAAAUGGUCAACUUUAGUGUGUGUAGCCACAGGCUUUUAUCCCGAUCAUGUGAGUGUGUCCUGGAAAGUGAAUGGCGAAGAGAGACAGGACAGGGUAUCAACUGACACCUCACCCCAACAGAACAAGACCACAUUAAUGUACCAUAUCAGCAGCAGAAUGAAAAUUGAUGACAUGGACUGGAUAGAUCCCAAAAAUAACUUCACCUGCACUGUCCAUUUCUUCAACGGAAAGGCUUAUGUCAAUGUUACAAACACCAUAAAUGGUCAAAAAGUGAAGCCAAAAGGAUUGAAACUGCUUGGCUUUGGCUACAUCCUAUUCCUCAGCAAAAGCCUGCUGUAUGCACUGAUUGUGGCUGGUGUGGUGUGCAAAUACAAGUUUUCAGCAAAGAAGAAACAAUUACCAGAGGACUGAGACUGCCAGAAGUGACUUUCUUUUUAUUUACAAAUGUGUAAUAUGUCUGUGUAUUUCCUACAUUUUUUUUAUUUGUGUAUAACAUCAAAUCACACAUGCAAUUAUGUUUUUAUUUUCUUCUUUUUUAAGCAUGAAAGUUUAAAGUAGAUAGUGACUGGAUAAGAAUGAAUAACUAACAACAAGAAACUGAUUAAGUAACAUGCGAUGUAAACAGUUUUGUAUUCUGUUUUGUGCUAUGACUAAAACAUUCUGCAUUUACGAAAUUCUGAGGCCUUUGUUUUAUGAGAAACAGAGGAUAUUUGCAUAUGUUUUUUGUUUUUGUCUUUUUUUUUUCCAGUGGAAGAUCUGCACUUAUGGAAAGUGUGGGUUGUUAUCUAAUUUACGUAAGAAUCUUCCAUUGCAAUAAGAAAAAUAGACUGCAUAUGUGGCCUCUCUCAUAAUGAGUUCUAAAGCUUUUCUAAAAUUCCUGGAACAAUGCACAUAAAAUAAUAAGAAAAAUGCGAACUGAAAAUAACAGCAACAUCUUGAUUUUGUAAAUACAUAUUUCUUCUGAAAUAAAUAAAUAAUCAAAUUUGUUUCUUUUCAACUUGAAAAUGUGAAUAAAAUCCAGAAGAAAUGU